AUUUUAGGACGAGACUAUUCGCAACCAGGCGUGUAUGAAGCGUAUAAAAUUUUGGGAAGUUAUUGUUUUCACCUCGAUUCGCGAAAAUUGGAAUUCCAACAGAUGUUGACAUUUUGAGGUUCUAGGAAACUAUUCUGACUAGAUUCAAGAUGAUGUCCGAGUGUAUGUACGUACAACUCAAUAAAACGCGUCGAUUGCCACCUCAACCGUCUCAAUUGGUCAAUUCGUUCGAGAGAUAUUUUUGGAGAAAAAAUGGUAAAAAAACCUUAUUUUUUGAAAACAAAGGCAUACAAAAGUAUUUUCGAGCUCGAAGAGCUCAAAAAUGUAUUCUCAACAACGAUUUCGAACUCAAGGAGGUCGAAAGCAGCGGGAAGUUUUGGGGAUGGCCCGCAGGGUCAACUGACAACAAUUUUUUUUAUUUAUUACAGUGCUUCCGUCUAAACUUAUGAUUCCAAACUUAUCUAUGUGGUCUCAUGAUAUUUAUCGAUGUUCAAGUCAAAUUAGAAUGUAUUUUGAUUUCACAAUACUGUGAAUUGUGAUACUUGAGUAAUAAAUAAAUAUUUAUAAAAAUCAA